rfam:Chlorocebus sabaeus isolate 1994-021 chromosome 2, whole genome shotgun sequence.
GUCUACAGCCAUACCACCCUGAAUGCACCCAAAUUCAUCUGAUCUAGGAAGCUAAGCAGGGUCAGGCCGGGUUAGUACUUGGAUGGGAGACAACUAUAUUUUUUAUUUC